AUUCUCGUCUACGGUCAUGCCACCCUGAACAAGCCUGAUCCCCUCCAAUCUCAGAAGCUAAGCAGGGUCGGGCCUGGUUAGUACUUGCAUGG
rnacentral:miRNA from 1 species